CUCUACAAGAAGGCUGGGCUUGGCAAGGAGAAACGCCAUGUCACCUACGUUGUAGCCAAAAAAGGUGUGGGCCGCAAAGUGCGCCGGCCAGCUGGAGUCAGAGGUCAUUUCAAGGUGGUGGACUCAAGGAUGAAGAAGGACCAAAGAGCACAGCAACGCGGCUCUGGGACAGCAAAGCCGUCAGCUGUCUUAUCUGUCUUGCUGUCCACCUUGUCCAUCUUGCUGCUGUCCACUUUGGGUUCCAUCUUGGGCUCCAUCUUGCUCUCACGAUUACAAGCUUCUUUCCUGCUUUCCCCAUUCCGACCAUCAUUUGCACCCCGGUUCUCCCCAUGCCGGCCUGCGCUUCCUCCAUGUCUGUUCUCCCCGUGCCGAUGGCCAUCAGUAUGACGGCUGCUGCUUUCUGGAUGGCGGUAUCCAUCUCCAUGGCGACCACCAUCUCCGUGACGUGGACUAUCGCUAUGCCGAUUGCCAGUCUCUCCGUGACUGUGACGGCUGCUGCCCCGGUUCUCAGUAUAUCUCUCUCUUUUCCCGUUGCUGCCCCCAGUCCCUUCUCGGCUGUUAUUCCCUGAAGCUGUGUUGUUGACUCCUUGGGCUCCGGCAGACGGGUAGGUCACAGGGGCACCACUGAUGUUGCCAGUAUUGCCAAAGCCUGGGAUGCCCUUGGUGGCACUGGUGACGGGGCUGUCAGGACUGUUAUGGCCCUGUUGUGCUGAGUUAGUUGGAACAGAAUUCAAGCUCCCUGCACUAGUCCACCCACUUGCCCCAGCAGCAG
rnacentral:lncRNA from 1 species